rnacentral:rRNA from 1 species
UACGUAGGGUGCAAGCGUUAAUCGGAAUUACUGGGCGUAAAGCGUGCGCAGGCGGUUAUGUAAGACAGAUGUGAAAUGCCCGGGCUUAACCUGGGAACUGCAUUUGUGACUGCAUGGCUAGAGUUGGCAGAGGGGGGUAGAAUUCCACGUGUAGCAGUGAAAUGCGUAGAUAUGGGGAGGAACACCGAUGGCGAAGGCAGCCCCCUGGGUCAAGACUGACGCUCAUGCACGAAAGCGUGGGGAGCAAACAGG